ensembl:lncRNA
CACACACACACCCCUCUCUCUCUCUCUCAACACCUGUGCUGGAUCAAGAAAUCAAAUGCUUGCCAUCCUUUUUGGUAAUGGCAUCAAUACGUCUUACAGACAGAGUGAGAAAGUGUUUUCUUGUCAGUGCAUGGACUGUGCACUACUCACACACAACUGUUCAAGAAAGAGGGCCGCGCGGAGGUCUGGAAGUGCCGACGUCAGAGACGGACUGCACCAGUCUGCCAUGAGGACUCUGCCUCUGGCUCUAUAAAUCCAAGGAGACGCUGCCCAGAGCCAUAGUCUCACUAACGUGCUUAGACAUCACAGAGCUCGACGCCGAAGACUAAUCAAGUUUACAGUGCACGCUUACAGCAGCUACAGAAAGAGUGAAGAUGCGCGGUGCUGUGCUGGGAUGCCUGCUGCUGUGUGCCAUGGCCCUGCUGGCCGAGCAGGCAGAGGGACACGUCACCUUCUUCAGCCCCAAUCAGAUGAGGACCCUGCAGAAGCAAGAAGCAAAGCUAGAAAAGCAAAAAGAACUGGGGCCUCGUUCAGAGGAUGGCACACCUGAGGAUACAUCAGUUCAGCCAGUACCACAGGAGGAGCCCGAGGCCCAGGGGACAAAGGUUGAGAUCUCUAUCAGACUGAGUGGCGAACAGCUGGAUCAUGUAACACAGGCAAUCAUAAAGGAUGCGCUGGAAAAUGGAGAGAGAGAGAGAGCGUUCUUGUGACCUGUCUAUGCUUCUCUGGGCAGCUGCUUGAGGAGAGAGCUGUUCCACACUUAUCUGCAGACUGCUGCUGAUAGACAUCACCGUCCAUCCAUCAUGAGCUCAUUUUAUGUCCUGUGAAAAUGGAUAAAUAAAG